rnacentral:rRNA from 1 species
GACGAACGCUGGCGGCGUGCUUAACACAUGCAAGUCGAACGGAAAGGCCCUGCUUUUGUGGGGUGCUCGAGUGGCGAACGGGUGAGUAACACGUGAGUAACCUGCCCUUGACUUUGGGAUAACUUCAGGAAACUGGGGCUAAUACCGGAUAGGAGCUCCUGCUGCAUGGUGGGGGUUGGAAAGUUUCGGCGGUUGGGGAUGGACUCGCGGCUUACGAGCUUGUUGGGGGGGUAGUGGCUUACCAAGGCUUUGACGGGUAGCCGGCCUGGGAGGGUGACCGGCGACAUUGGGCCUGAGGUACGCACCAGACGCGUACGGGAGGCAACAGUGGGGAAUAUUGCACAAUGGGGGGAAGCGUGUGACGGCGAUGCCGCGUGCGGAAUGCCGGGCUUCGGGUUGUAAACCGCUUUCGCCUGUGACGAAGCGUGAGUGACGGUAAUGGGUAAAGAAGCAACGGCUAACUACGUG